rnacentral:rRNA from 1 species
CCUACGGGUGGCAGCAGUGAGGAAUAUUGGUCAAUGGACGAGAGUCUGAACCAGCCAAGUAGCGUGAAGGAUGACUGCCCUAUGGGUUGUAAACUUCUUUUAUAUGGGAAUAAAAUGUUCCACGUGUGGGAUUUUGUAUGUACCAUAUGAAGAAGGAUCGGCUAACUCCGUGCCAGCAGCCGCGGUAAUACGGAGGAUACGAGCGUUAUCCGGCUUUAUUGGGUUUAAAGGGAGCGUAGGUGGAUUGGUAAGUCAGUUGUGAAAGUUUGCGGCUCAACCGUAAAAUUGCAGUUGAAACUGGCAGUCUUGAGUACAGUAGAGGUGGGCGGAAUUCGUGGUGUAGCGGUGAAAUGCUUAGAUAUCACGAAGAACUCCGAUUGCGAAGGCAGCUCACUGGACUGCAACUGACACUGAGGCUCGAAAGUGUGGGUAUCGAACAGGAUUAGAUACCCCAGUAGUC